UAGGGAAUCUUCCGCAAUGGGCGAAAGCCUGACGGAGCAACGCCGCGUGAGUGAUGAAGGUCUUCGGAUCGUAAAACUCUGUUAUUAGGGAAGAACAAAUGUGUAAGUAACUAUGCACGUCUUGACGGUACCUAAUCAGAAAGCCACGGCUAACUACGUGCCAGCAGCCGCGGUAAUACGUAGGUGGCAAGCGUUAUCCGGAAUUAUUGGGCGUAAAGCGCGCGUAGGCGGUUUUUUAAGUCUGAUGUGAAAGCCCACGGCUCAACCGUGGAGGGUCAUUGGAAACUGGAAAACUUGAGUGCAGAAGAGGAAGGUGGAAUUCCAUGUGUAGCGGUGAAAUGCGCAGAGAUAUGGAGGAACACCAGUGGCGAAGGCGACUUUCUGGUCUGUAACUGACGCUGAUGUGCGAAAGCGUGGGGAUCAAACAGG
rnacentral:rRNA from 1 species